GAUGAUUUAGUUUAUAAAAAACUAAUGUUUUGAAAACAUUAAAAAGAACCAUAAUUCUAAUCAUUA
rnacentral:tRNA from 1 species